AAACGGCGAAGCUGCCCGGACAUGUUCCCCCGAGAACCGAACACGCAGAAUCACGGAGAGAGGCCUGAGAAACCCAAGAGGCGGCCAUAAGAGAUUCCUCGGUAUGUUUCAGUAAUAACACGGCCGAUAAUCUGCGCCUUGUUUUCAUUAAUACCGACGAGAUGACAUUCGGAUCUUGAAUAAACGCUGUAGAAAUGGGAACCGGCUUUCGCACAUCUGCCAGAUGUUUUCCUAAAGUCCCUGGACAUCAGAACGGGUAAAUACGCCGUGAGUGAUGAUAGCCCGGUUUGGAUGACCUCCAGUUUGCCUGUUACAAACCAGAUCCCGCCUUGACCUUUUCCUGCGGACUCUGAAUUCAAACCUGAUCGCCUUCCCUGCCUGGAAAUGAAUCACCCUAGGGCUUGGAGACUCCAUCCUCGGGUCAAGGAUCGCGUACCAAUCACUCAGCCUAAUGGUUCUGCUCUAGGACAGAAGGACACAAUUUACAUAGGAUUUUCCAGCAGAUCGGCCCCAUUCGGCCCCUCUAGACUGGCAAACUCAAACCAUCAUCAGUUGUUGGUCUUGUCUUAGAUUCAGGAGCCGUAUGUCUAAUCCCACGCAUGUUUAUUACCCUCACUGUA